GUAGUUUAAUGUCAAAGUACCAUCAUAAAAUUCACACUUAUAUAUUUAUAUACAUUAAAAGGCCUGGGUUAACUACAUUUGUAUGUGCAUGUAUAUAAUGCUGACAGCUGAGGUUGGGUCAGGUCAUUAGGGCAAAGAGACAUUACAGAAAUGAUUUAUAUGUGUAAAUUAUGUGCAUUAAUAUUUUUUUUAUCCUAGUGAUAAACAGCACAGUGUUAAUGCCUUAUUCGUACAUUUAUGUGGAUUUUUUGGUCCAAUAUAGGCUCAUCUUUAUUAAAGUAAAAAUUGAGGUCUCAGUAAGAUGAAAAGUUACACCAAGUAAUCUGGGUCUAAACUGAUUUAAAUAAAGGGAAAAAUAUAAAGACAACCCCCCCCCCCCAAAAAAAAAAAAAAAAAACCAACAAAAAAAACAACAAAAAAAAAACAAAACAAAACAAUUAAACAACAACAAAAACAUUUUUGAAACUAUUUAUUUUGCCCUCAACAUAUUUGAAUAUUUUUCCAAUGAAUGAAAGUUGCAUGCUAAUUUUCAAAUUUUCAAAGGUUGGCCCUUCGAUUGAAAACAUUUUAUUUUGACGAGGCUUCUAUUCUAUAAUGACUAUUUAUUUACCCUUAACAUUUUUGAAAAUUUUUCAAUGAAUUAAAGUUGCAUUCUAAUUUUCAAAGGUCUGUCCCUUCGAUUGAAAACAUUUUAUUCUGAUGAUGACUUCUAUUUUAGGGUUGCUAUAAUGACAUUACCGUUCUCCUGUCAAAGAGCUUGUUUAACAUGAUAAAUGUUGAUCUAUAGUAGAAGGUGUAAUCCCCAGCAGGAGUUCUCUCUACUUAAUUGUAUUUAAUGGUAUUUAAUUAAACCUCCAGAGAUAGAUCUAAAUGCCAGUUCAAUCUAGGUACAAUCUAAAGAUACAGCUAUACUUAAAUUUAUAUUAAGUCGAUUUGAUAUACAGAAAGUUGUUCAAUCUAGGUACAAUCUAAACUAGGAUCAAAGAUGCAUCUAUACUUAACUUUAGAUGAUUUGAUAUACAGAAAUUUGUCUCUGAUGAUGUUAUUAUAUAAUUUGUUUGGUAACCUUCUGCAGUACAGGG
rnacentral:lncRNA from 1 species